UUCACGUGUCUAGUUCACGUGUCUAGCUAUCCAUCAGAUUCUAUGACCUGCAGUGUUGGAAAAAUUACUAAUUUACUUAGGUAAAAGUAUGUAAGUAUUACCAUUACUAUUAUUACCAAGUUAAAGCUAAAGUACAAAAUUAGCAGAAAAUCGGGGUGUGACUGAUAUAUAUGAAAUACAUUUAAGUGCAUCAUUGAAUACUUAUGAGUCGGUGCAUAAGCAGCCGAUUUUCUGGAAAGUAGCACUUUUUCCAAUACUGCAGGUCACAGAAUCGACUUUUUACCGUUCUUGCUUAAAUGUUUAUUUACUUUCUCAAACUUCAUUGCAUGUCUCAGUCAAAAUGCUGGUCCAGGUGAAGUACAGCCAACAGCAGAAGUAUGUAAAGUUGGAUGAGGAUGAAGGACUGUUUGACUUUCUGCAAUUCCAUGAAAAAGUCAUGGAGAGAUUUGGCCUGCCACCUGAUGCAAAUGUUAUAUACAAAGGAUGCAACAGGGACAGAAGUUGAUGCAGAAAUAUUCAGCGACCUCGUUGGACAAGGCAAUGUGGUCCUGACAGUUUUCUCAGAUCAGGGUGAGAUAUCAAGGCAGGUAUAAUAAAGCACUCUACACCUUAGUAUAUCAUUUAAUAAUUGAAAUGUUAUUUAAUUAUCUAUUGCUUUAGAAUUCUCUGAUUUCUCCUUGUCUUCUGAGACGUCUGACUCAAGCUUCAGCUCAAGUGCAUCAACUAUAAUCCUAGAUGUUCCUAACAAGAGACAAAGAAUUGAGGAUACACGUGAUGCUGUGUCUGCUAAACAGUUGAUAGAAGCUGUGCUAAGAGGCAAGUCUGGAGGUGAAGAAGUACUACAGAAGUACCAAACAACAGAAACCCUAACAGAUGCUGCAAGAAGACAAAUGGUUAAUUUCCUGGUGGCUCACAUGAUUGACAAUCAUGGGAACACUUCUAUGAUGCUGCAAGCAGCACAGGAUACAUUUCUUGGCGUCUGAAAACAGUCCAGAGGAAGAUUCGUCAAGGAUCUGCACAGCCACUCUUUCAUCUCCUUCCACCACCUCCAGGGGGACUGAAGUCUCCAAAAAUUAGUGCAUGUGAUGCAGUUGAAAGACUUGUUGUAUUUCAUAAGUCAUGCUGCAGUUUGGAGGAGCAUCUCCGCAACCAGCAGGGUCGGCAGCCGUACCUCCUCGCUGUUGGGCGUCAGAAGAGCAAGAUUGACAGCCUCUACAUCACCAUGGAUAAGCGUCUCAUCCCAUGCAAGGCAAACCGCUUCCUCGGGGCAUGUGAUGAACUUUUCAAAGCACAUUUUGUGUUUAAUUUGUCUUACGAUGUGGCACUUGUGAAUUUUUAUACAUUCCUGCAGACAACAGUGUAUAACAUUGAUGUGGGGAAAAUGAAGGAGUCACCCAGAGUUAAAGACUUGAGAGCAAGACUGCUUAACCAGCCAGUAGCAUUCUCACCCUGUGAGUAAGAAGCUAUAACAAUGCUGACCUGUUUCAUGUGUUGAAAAACAAGCUAUUUACAGAGAAUUUUCAUGACCAUCAUCAUGCAUUCAGAGUAUUACAAAAUGCGGAAAGAUGUUUACUAAAAAUGUCUGCGCUUAAAUUUCAUAAACCGUUUCAUAUUCAAAGCUCAUACAAUGUUUUGGAUGGAAGUUUGUACAUUAUACCUUCAUUCACAAUGUUUUAAUUCAACUGACUGCAAGGGAGAAAAGGAAUAAAUGUUUUUGAAAAUGUU
ensembl:lncRNA